UACAGGGGAUGCGAGUGUUAUUCGGAAUUAUUGGGCGUAAAGAGCGUGUAGGCGGCCAUACAGGUCAGCUGUGAAAACUCGAGGCUCAACCUCGAGACGUCGGUUGAAACCGUAUGGCUAGAGUCCGGAAGAGGAGAGUGGAAUUCCCGGUGUAGCGGUGAAAUGCGCAGAUAUCGGGAAGAACACCUAUGGCGAAGGCAGCUCUCUGGGACGGUACUGACGCUGAGACGCGAAAGCGUGGGGAGCAAACAGG
rnacentral:rRNA from 1 species